CUUUCCAGCAGGCACAGCUCUCCCAGCGCAGCUUUUAACUCGAGGCUGCGAAGAACGCGGAGUCAACUUUGCUGCCCGAAAGGUUCUCUGUCCUUUCUGUUGAUGAGGAUGGUGAUGCUCACGCCAACCUUGGAAGCCACCAAUCAAAGAUGGCAGGCAGCCAAACUCCUGAUGCUUGUAUGUCCACAUGGAGCCUCUCUACAAACGUGAACAUCUCUCUGGAUUUUCAUAUGAAAAAGAAAUUUUUUGUUCUUUGAGCCACUAUAUUUGGGAAUCUUGGCUUAACUUAUAUACAUAUAUGUAUAUUAUAAAUACAUAUAUAUAUACAUAGACAUUUUGACUCUAAUCUCAGGGGUUCAGUGAUACCCUGUAACCUAGAUUGUGGCUUGAUCUGAGAAAAGGAGAGAUUUCUGAUGACCUGCCCUCUGGAGUGGGCGUUUGUCAGAAAUGGGCACAUUAGAGAUGUUACAAACUCUAAUGUACAAACUCUUUCUACAAACUCUACCUCAAAGCACUGAUUACAUUGAACUGAAUGCCUCUGCCAAUUCCCCUGACUUCUCUGACAACAUUUACUCUGCCAGAAGAAGAGGCAGAGUAAAUUCCACAGAUUAAAUGAUAACUAUGGUCAUUAACGGAAGACUAGUCAGCAGUAUCAGGACCAGACUCCUGAUAUACACAACAAUAUGGAUGAAUCUCUAAAACAUGCUGAACAAAAUUAGACAGAUCC